UACGGGGGGAGCAAGCGUUGUUCGGAUUUACUGGGCGUAAAGGGCGCGUAGGCGGCCACCGCAAGUCGACUGUGAAAUCUCCGGGCUUAACCCGGAAAGGUCAGCCGAUACUGCGGGGCUAGAGUGCAGAAGGGGCAACUGGAAUUCUCGGUGUAGCGGUGAGAUGCGUAGAUAUCGGGAGGAACACCUGCGGCGAAGGCGGGUUGCUGGGCUGACACUGACGCUGAUGCGCGAAAGCUAGGGGAGCAAACAGG
rnacentral:rRNA from 1 species